rnacentral:misc_RNA from 1 species
UUCCAAUUGAAUCAGUUUUUCCAUCUUCAUUUUCUUCUCUAUUUUCCAAAAUUGCCACUAUCCCAUUCGGAGAUGCCGUUGAGAUCCAGCCAUGGACGGGGAGGCUAACCUUCCGGUCUCGGCUGCUCCUCCCCCCAGGAAUCUCGCCCUUCCGAUCAUCAACCCUGACACGACGUCGUCCUCGUCAGCGUCGUUCUCUUCCUCUUCCCC